CUAACAAGAUCCCCUAGUAACGGCGAGUGAAGCGGGAUGAGCUCAAAUUUGUAAUCUGGCGGCCUCUUGGUCGUCCGAGUUGUAGUCUGGAGAAGCGUCUUCCGCGUCGGACCGUGUACAAGUCCCUUGGAACAGGGCGUCGUAAAGGGUGAGAAUCCCGUCUUUGACACGGACUGCCGAUGCUUUGCGAUGCGCUCUCGAAGAGUCAGUUGUUUGGGAAUGCAGCUCAAAACGGGUGGUAAAUUCCAUCUAAAGCUAAAUAUGGGCGAAAGACCGAUAGCGAACAAGUACCGUGAGGGAAAGAUGAAAAGCACUUUGGAAAGAGAGUUAAACAGUACGUGAAAUUGUUGAAAGGGAAACGCUUGAAGUCAGUCGCGUCUCUUGGGACUCAGCCUUGCUUUCCGCUGGGGUAUUUCCUGGGGUGACGGGCCAGCAUCGAUUUUGACCGUCGGAGAAAGCCCUUGGGAACGUGGCACCUUUGGGUGUGUUAUAGCCUUCGUUCGUAUGCGACGGUUGGGAUCGAGGACCGCAGCACGCCUUUUUGGCCGGGGUUCGCCCACGCACGUGCUUAGGAUGCUGGCGUAAUGGCUUUAAGCGACCCGUCUU
rnacentral:rRNA from 1 species